ACAAGAAAUCUAAUAAUGUAAGUAAAACCAUCAGUACAAGAAUGCAAAGUAAUUGAUAGCAAUAGGAUUUUCCAGCUUUCUUCUAUGAUCCCUUGAUUUUGUUGAUCCUUCUAUCUUUGAUCAGUCUCUGUGUUUUUGCCUAAAGAAGCAAUUGCUGCUUUACAUACGGGUUAAAGAAUAAGAGUUACAGCCACAGAAAGUCCCUGUGUUUCUCUUGCUUCUGACCCUACUUAGGAACACUAUUUUCUAUUACUGAUGUUAUUGCUAUUAAUUUGAGAGACGUGUGUUAUUGGGUUGCCCAGAAGAACAGAUUGGAUCUGAAUCAACAUUGGACACCAUUACAUUUUUGUUACCCUGGCUUAAAGACAAAUAUGACUGAAAUUCAUGUGGCCACCACACGUGAAACAAAGGUCUGGUAGUUGGAGUUCAGAAGUGAAUUUACUGUAACGUGGAAGCACAGACUAAGCAUUUUCUUCUGAGUUGAAAAGGACAGUGAGAGAACACAAUGUCUUCAAAUACUUUGGAAUAAAACCAACCUCCCUGUGCCCUGCCUUCUGGCUUACUCUUGCUGUUCCUUCUGGCACAACAGCUUCCUACUUUUCCAGUCCAGAAAGGAUCCAUCUGGGGGCUCUGUGCUAACCUUUAGCACAAGGAGGAGAAUUCCAAAAUGUAAAGGGGGAAAUACCCAUGUUUCCUCUGACAAGUUUACCUGGGUUGAAGUCAGUGAUGUCGCCCCCCAAAAAGCACCUCAAGCAUUACAAAAAGGCUAG
rnacentral:lncRNA from 1 species